AUUUAUAGUGGAAGCGUAAAUAAGUUGAAAUUAAAUUUAGAGUACAUUUGAACUUUCAAAUACAAUAAAUGCCUCAAAUGCCCUCUAACCAAACAAGCACUAACAUCAAAGCAUAUUAUGAUACUAAUACUGUAUUUGCCAUAAACUUGUUAAAGAAUAAUUUGGUGUAAAACACUUGGAUGAUGGGUCGCAUUGGUGAAUCAGAUCCAUUUUCUUGAUUUUUCCUUGAAUUGUCUAUAAUAUUAUUACUACCAUCUGUUAGGUAUCUGCCC
rnacentral:lncRNA from 1 species